rnacentral:rRNA from 1 species
GAUGAACGCUGGCGGCGUGCCUAAUACAUGCAAAUCGAGCGAACGGACGAGAAGCUUGCUUCUCUGAUGUUAGCGGCGGACGGGUGAGUAACACGUGGAUAACCUACCUAUAAGACUGGGAUAACUUCGGGAAACCGGAGCUAAUACCGGAUAAUAUUUUGAACCGCAUGGUUCAAAAGUGAAAGACGGUCUUGCUGUCACUUAUAGAUGGAUCCGCGCUGCAUUAGCUAGUUGGUAAGGUAACGGCUUACCAAGGCAACGAUGCAUAGCCGACCUGAGAGGGUGAUCGGCCACACUGGAACUGAGACACGGUCCAGACUCCUACGGGAGGCAGCAGUAGGGAAUCUUCCGCAAUGGGCGAAAGCCUGGCGGAGCAACGCCGCGUGAGUGAUGAAGGUCUUCGGAUCGUAAAACUCUGUUAUUAGGGAAGAACAUAUGUGUAAGUAACUGUGCACAUCUUGACGGUACCUAAUCAGAAAGCCACGGCUAACUACGUG